rnacentral:rRNA from 1 species
CACGUAGGGGCGAGCGUUGUCCGGAAUUACUGGGCGUAAAGGGCGCGCAGGCUGUUAUGCGAGUCUGCUGUGAAAUGUACCGGCUCAACCGGUGCCUUGCGGCGGAUACUGCAUAGCUGGAGUACUGGAGAGGAAGUGGAAUUCCCGGUGUAAGCGGUGAAAUGCGUAGAGAUCGGGAGGAACACCAGUGGCGAAGGCGGGUAACUGGACUGCAACUGACGCUGAGGCGCGAAAAGUGUGGGGAGCAAACAGGAUUAGAUACCCCU